UAACAUGCAGUCGACGGCAGCACGGGGGCAACCCUGGUGGCGAGUGGCGAACGGGUGAGUAAUACAUCGGAACGUGUCCUGUAGUGGGGGAUAGCCCGGCGAAAGCCGGAUUAAUACCGCAUACGAUCUACGGAAGAAAGCGGGGGAUCCUUCGGGACCUCGCGCUAUAGGGGCGGCCGAUGGCAGAUUAUCUAGUUGGUGGGGUAAAGGCCUACCAAGGCGACGAUCUGUAGCUGGUCUGAGAGGACGACCAGCCACACUGGGACUGAGACACGGCCCAGACUCCUACGGGAGGCAGCAGUGGGGAAUUUUGGACAAUGGGGGAAACCCUGAUCCAGCAAUGCCGCGUGUGUGAAGAAGGCCUUCGGGUUGUAAAGCACUUUUGUCCGGAAAGAAAACUUCUGCCCUAAUACGGUGGGAGGAUGACGGUACCGGAAGAAUAAGCACCGGCUAACUACGUGCCAGCAGCCGCGGUAAUACGUAGGGUGCGAGCGUUAAUCGGAAUUACUGGGCGUAAAGCGUGCGCAGGCGGUUCGUUAAGACAGAUGUGAAAUCCCCGGGCUUAACCUGGGAACUGCAUUUGUGACUGGCGAGCUAGAGUAUGGCAGAGGGGGGUAGAAUUCCACGUGUAGCAGUGAAAUGCGUAGAGAUGUGGAGGAAUACCGAUGGCGAAGGCAGCCCCCUGGGCCAAUACUGACGCUCAUGCACGAAAGCGUGGGGAGCAAACAGGAUUAUAUACCCUGG
rnacentral:rRNA from 1 species